rnacentral:lncRNA from 1 species
GUCAUUGUUAGAGUGGGUAAAAAGUCCCACCUUGGUUGGGGAAUGGACUAGUGGUUUGCUUAUAUGGACUUGGGCAAUCCUUUGAGGUUGAGUUAGGCCCAAGGUCCAAUCUUGACAUGUAAUAACUACACAGAAACCUGUGAAUUGAUUUCAAGUGGAUCCCAGUUACAGGGAACACAUUUUCAUAGUUGAUCAUACAAACGACAGAAGCAUCAUCUCUACAAACACAUAGCCUAUACUCAUAAUAAAAACACAAGAAAAAGGCAGGAAACUGGAGACAGCAAAUGUCAAAGGAGUUGUUGGAAAUUAACCAUUUCACAUGGAACUUUGAGUUGUCCAUAAGACCAUUGCCAGGAUAGAGCAACAUCUUUAUCUUACUCAUAGAGUGUCGGAUUAGAUAAUCUUGGAACAGGUAUAGCCACUAGAGGCACUUUCUUCUUCAAAACAAUACCAAACUUCUCCGUAAGAUCUAAUGUCUCUCCUUCAGGCAACUUCCAGUCGAAAGAAUGAAUGAGCGAAGCCAGUGAAUACAUGAACAUCCUCUCUGCCAUGGCUAUUCCCGCGCAGAUUCUUCUGCCAGAACCAAAUGGAAAGUAAUUGAAAUCAUUCCCACUAUAGUCCCAUUUAUCGUCCAAGAAUCUCUCCGGAAGGAACUCAGUAGGAUUUUCCCAGAUAGAAGGAUCUCUCUGUAUAGCCCACACAUUUAUGAAAAUACGAGAUCCUUUAGGAACAGUGUAUCCUUCCACAGUGCAUGUCUCACUAGGACAAUGUGGCACCAAGAGUGGAAGAGCUGGAUGUAUGCGCAAGACUUCUUUCAUAACUGCAUAGAGAAAAGGUAAUUGCUGAAUAUGAGACUCUUCCACAAUAUUAUCUUUUCCCACAACUGUCUCUAGUUCUUGUUGUAAUUUCCUCAAGACGUCUGGUCUGUUCAUAAUUUCAGCCAUGGCAAACUCAACUGUGUUGGCGGUUGUGUCAGUUCCACCAACAACCAUAUCCUGUUCAUGGUAUUCGUAAAGUUAUUAUCAAGUACAACAAUUUUUUAUUUGUAGAACUGUAUAUCGGAGUUCAGUUCAAGGUUCUCCGUUAAGUCUUUACAUAUUUUUUAACUUCUCCCAUUACCCUAAAAAAAAAAGGUCUUCACAUAUUUUAUGAUGCAAUUAAAGCUUUACGUAUUAUCUUAUGCUAAAUGACUAUUUCCUUAGUGCAGUCCAAUAAUAAGGUAGCAACCAACAGUUCAGAACAUGAAUAUAUGAAUCUGAUUCUUCUUAUAUUUAUUACUCAUCUACCACGAUAAUUCUUCAAUAUAUUUACAAUUGCAUAUCCUUUUAUAACGACUAGUAUCACUAUAAGCCAUUUUGCCAUCCAUAAGAGGCAAAGAAAUAGACAACAUAAAGUAAAAGGCAAACUUUAAAACCAGCACCACAUCUAAGGAAAGUGAAUUUUCCUAGUAGAAGAAAGCCAACAACAGCUCAGGACAUGAAUUUACAAAUCUGAUUCUUCUGAAAUUUAUUUCCCUUAUGGCCACAAUAAUUCUUCUACUCCCUCCGUUUCAAAUUUGUUUGUCUAACUUUUGUUUUAGUACGUUUAAAAAAAAGAAUGUUCCUUUCAUUGUAGGCAACUCUUUGAUUUCAACAUUCCACCUGACAUAUUAACACCACAAGAUUAAAGGGCGUUCCGUACGUUCUACAUAUCUUUAACACCACAAGAUUAAAGGACGUUCCGUACGUUCUACAUAUCUUGACUUUAACACCACAAGAUUUAAAAGUCAUCUUUACUUCCUUAAACUCUGUGUCAAGUUAAAACCAGACUGAAAAUUUACAAUCCCACCAUCUAAUUCAUUUGAUUUUGAUCCUUUUAACAUAAACAAGAAAAGAUCUGCCAUCAUGUUCAGAACAAGCUACAAUUAGCAACUAUUCAUCCAUAUAGAUAAGGUAUAAAUGGUUGAAAACAAAUACAAUAUUGGCCAUUCAAUAAUAAUUCAUUGAUGACUAUUGAUUUGAAGUUUGAAAACGGGGAGACAAAGAUUUCUUUUUGCUUGAUGUGGAAAAGAAAAUGUUUAGAUGGAAACAACCAACAUCACAUCUAAUAAAAGUGACAUUUACUAUAGUAGAGUAGAAUGCAUAAAAUUGAUAAAACAUACCAUAAGUAAGGCUUUGAUUUCAACCAUAGACAGAGGCAUUUUGGCAUCUGCUUCAUCUUUCAACUUCAGCAAAAUCUGCAAAAAGUCCUUGCUUCCUUGACCAACACCAUUUCCAAUCUCACCAUUUCUAUCCAAUUUUUGUCUUUUAUCAAUCAUGCUCUCAAAUAUCUCAUCAAAUCUCUUCGCCAACACUUUCAUCUUCUUUGUAACACCUUGUAAAUCAAGCCAUUCCAAGCCCGGGUAAAAAUCGGAAACAUUUGGAGUACCGAACAACUCAGUCAUCUCAGACACAGCAUGCCUAAACUCAGCUCCAAGACUAGCUCUUUCCUCACCCUUUACUGUACCACCCCAUAACAUGUUUGUAAUCACAUUAAGCACAGUCAAGAACAUCUGUUCACCCAUAUUCACUGACAAUCCCUUCUGAUUAUAGAAGUAGCUAAUCGUCUGUCUAAGUUCCUUUCGCCUUAAAGCAUAUACAUAAUCUAAAGUAGAACCACUAAGCAUAUCCCGAACACAGACUUUCCUCAACAUACGCCAUUUCGGUCCAUAAGGAGUCCAUGUUAUGUCUUUGCCACCAUAUGUAGCUUCUCUACCGGCAGCAGUUACAUCUCUGUUAGCAAAUAUGGUAUCUUGAUCCUUAAGCACCUCGCGAGCUAUCGCAGGAGAAGUAAUAACAAUACCAACUUUUCUACCAAGCCAGAGUGAACAAAUGGGGCCAUAAGUUUUGGAUAGAGAUGCAAAAUAUAUGUGGAGUUCAGGAUCAAGAGAAUGGAGAUUGCCUAUCAAAGGCAAAGGUUUAGGUCCUGGUGGCAAUGGUGGUGGUUGUCCAUUUUUUGACUUGUUGAUGAGAAGCCAAAGGAAGUAUAGUAAAGCUAAAAGGCCAAGAAAAUAGGAAAAUAAGACACCCUUUUGCUCAAUAUUGAGUUCUUGAAGGGGCCAUGGGAAAGAAUCAAAGAGUGGUAUGAAGAAUUUGAGAGACAUCAAUUGAGGUCAAUGGAAAGUGGGAGAAGCAAUGUGGUGGGAAAGUUGAACCUUUUGCCAUCAUUAUAUAGAAAAUUGAAUUUUCCUUUUUGAUUCUUCGCCUGGUGUUAAGUACGUGUGUUCAAGUUUGAUUAAAUUCGAACCCAGUUGCAAAGUCUCACCUCAAACUGUCAGAGGAUAAAUCUCUUUCUAACGAAGACAACUCUAUAUUCAUAAAAACUUACGUAUUAAAAAUGAAAGAUUUGGUACCACUAUACUUUAUUCUUAUUGGUUGGAAAUUUAACUUUAGUGAAGGAAUGAGAUAUUUCUCGAUGCACACAAAAGUUGGUCGGCUGACCCAUCGAAUAUACUCCUUCCGUCUCAAAUUACUCAUUUCAAAUUAAUUAAAAAAGAUAAUUAAUAAUAUAACUAAUUUAUCAUAAUAUCCUAUUAAAUGAUUUUUAUAUUUUAAUUUGAAGAAAAAGUAAUUAAUGCAAAAGACAAAACAUGAAGAAAAAAAAAUUAUCUCUUCUUAAUUAAUGAAAAAUAAUAAGUAAAAUGAAAUAUCAAAUUAGAAAAUAUGGGACGGAUAAUUUAAGAAGGAGGGAGUAGUAAACCAAGCACAUAUCACCCCCGUCCCAUAAGUAUAGUGUUAAAUAGUACUACGUAUUAAUGAAGGGGAGCCUUGGAGUAACUGGUAAAGCUAUUGUCAUGUGACCAGAAGGUCACGGGUUUAAGUCUUGGAAAUAGCCUCUGACAGAAAUCGUACAUACUUCCCCGAAUACCGCGCAUAGCACUAGAUUUAGUGCACUGAGCUGUCCUUUUUUAGUACUAAAUAUUAAUAAUAUUAAGAGCUUAGUUAUAUUAAAAAAUAAAUUACUAUUAUUUAAUUUAAUGUAUUAAAAAUAAUUAUAUUUUAAAUUUUGUGUACUCAUAUUUUAAUAAUUUUUGUAUUAUAAGUAUAAUAAUUUGCUAUAAUAGCGCUCCCAACAGAGUUUUUCUUUAUGCUCAGGAUCCUCGAUCUCUAAUUAAGGGUGAAGCAGUUACAUUUACUGCACCACAAUCCAUGUUGGUAAUUAUAUAUCUUAUAGUAUUGAAUAAAAAUAUAUAGUUAUAUAUAGAUUGAAAAUCCUAAUGUCUUACUAAAUGACCCCUUGCAGUGUUGCUUCAGUUUUAUUUACCAUGUAAUCCCGUAAAAAUAUACUUAUUAUAUCACAAUUUAAUACAUAAUCAUCUGAUAAUCUUAUAAGAUAUUUUAUUUAGAGAUUGACUAAGUCAUGUUUCAACUUUCAAAUUACCUCACUUUUAAGUGUUUCAAUUAAAUACUUUUCAAUUCAAAUUUUGAAAUGUGCAUUUACAUUUUUUAUUUGUCUAUUAGUUAAUUGAGCUAAUCCUGUAAAUUAUAUCACUAAUUAAUGUUGAUUCAUGUAAUUAAAUGAGAUGACACAUUUUAUAUAAUUAAUUUAACUACGAUGAAUGAAAACACAUCCAGAAAAAAAAAAUUCUUAAUUAGAAGCAAAAGUAUCUAAUUGGGACAGUUAUUAGAAGUUGAAGUGUUGGAUUAAAACACGACAUAGUUGAAGUGUCAAAAUACAAUAUCCUCACAAAUUUAGAAAAUUGAUUAUGUAUUAAGUCUUACAUCAAUUUAUAAAUUAAAAUAUAAUAAAUUAGUGCAUACUACUACUCCUAUUGUUUUGUGGUAUUUCUCCCCUAUCUAUCUAAGUUGUCAACUUCCAAAGUGAAUAUGGGUUAUUUAUGGAUUCUUUGAAAUUUUAGUAGCUUUUGUUGAAGUUCUAUUUAUAAUAAGAAAAAUUUACUAAAGAAGUAAAAAUAAUAAAUUUCGUAAGUAUUCAAUAAAUUUAAUGCCAAUAGUAGAAUCUCAAAAUUGAAGUUAUAAAUUAAAAUUAUGAAUUCGCCUUCGUCAGAGUUGUUCUCAUGGAAAGAGGCCUAACUUAUUCGUAAACCACAUAUAAUGUUCUUUGUUUUUUUCCUAUUGAAUGUGACUGUUGCCGUUUAUGAAACGCCAUUGAUUUGAGGACGUACAGAACAAGUUAUUCAUCCAAGAAAUUGUUUUUAAUAAGAAAAAGAUGCAAGUUGAUUCACCGAGGGUGGUUUGGUAGAAUGUAUUAGAAAAUAUAAUGCAUGUAUUAGUUAAUGUGUAUUAGUAGUAUCUUAUUUGAUACGUCUUUUUGUCUAUGUAUAACUAAUACAAAUAUUAGUUAUACACUCUAUUAUGUAUUAAAGUGUGUAUUAGCAAUAUACUUCAUUUCCUAUGUAUUAGUAAUAUAAAGACUUUUAACACAUACAUUAACUUAUUAAAUGAUCUUAACACCCCUCAAUUUUCCUCUCAAAAUAUUUCACAAUUUCUUUUCCUGCUAUUUUAAUUUUCAACAGUGAAUUUUCUCAAAAUAUUUCAUAAUUUUUUUCCCAUCAUUUUAAUUUACAACAAUGAAUAGUUGAUUUAAAUAACCGUAACAUAUUUUUGCUUUGCUUCGAGGGUCUUUAAAAGGAUUGAAAAAAAUUCUUCAGACUAUUCGUUAAUUUUACAUCUUGUAUUUUAUUUUUGUUUUGACUAUGUUAAUCCGUCGUCGGUGUAACAUUCUAUGCGCAAAGACGAAAGUCUUGCAAUUAAUCCUAAAUCUUCAUAUACUAGUUCAACAAUACUAAUUAUGUUUAAGAUAGCAAAAGAACUUUGUUGCAAAAAAAGUAUACAAAGUUAAAGAAGCGUAUUUUCAUAAACAAACACUUAUUUUAUAGAAAUUAUGUAAGAUAUAUUAUUUCUUAUACAUCAAACCAACAAAUGUAUAAGAAAUAAUACAUGCAUAAUUAAUACAAGUCUAAUGCAAACAUUAUUAAUGCAAGCGUUACUAAUACACUAUAUUUUGCAUUGUUUUUAUAUACUCUACCAAACGACUCCAAAAGAUAAGGUGUGUGUUUGGUAUGAAGGAAAACAUUUUCCAGAAAAUAUUUUCCAAUUUUCUCAUGUUUGGUUGGCUUAAAGAUUUUGGAAAAUAUUUUUCAAAUCUACUUAUUUUCCUCAAUUCUAAGGAAAAUGACUUCCCUUCAAAAAGUAAGGAAAACAAUUUUUAAAAUUCUCUUUCAAUCUCACUCGUUGAAGUAUUCAUACAACUCUCAAAAUCAUUCAUCCCUAUUCCGACCCUCAAUCCCCCUCCCCCAUCCACCCCGCCCCCUACCACCCCUACUAAAAAAAUAUUUUAAAUUUUUUUCUUACCUCACCCCCUACCCAAAACCCUAGCUCCUUUAAAAAAAAAAUUACAUUUUUUAAAAAAAUUCAAACUUUUUUCUUACCUCUCCUCCUCCCCCCAUCAAAAAAAUUAAUUUUUGGAAAAAUUUCAAUUUUUUCCUCCUCCCCAUUCAAAAUAAAUAUUUCAAAUUUUUUUCUUACCCUACUCUUACUCCCCUACCCCCACCCCCUACUAGCCCCCAACCCUCCAAAAAAAUUAAUUUGUUUUUUAAAAAAUCAAAAUUAUUUUUUUACCUCACCCUUAUUACCUAUUUUGGCAACCCCAACCCUAAUACGGGUACGAUCAUGAUCGGGGUCCAAUUCGUCAACACUCGAGCUUGGGGGGCUGCCCAUCCAAGGAACAAGUUUUGAAGUGUAGAGAACAAGUCCCACAAGCUCCAAAAUUGUUCACUGUUCAUCCGAGUUCACUGUUCAUCCCCUCUUUGCAAGGGUUUUUUAGUCAUUUGUAAUAAGUUAACCUAGGUAUAAAUAGAACCCCAUUAGGUCAUUUUUGGAAAAUUUUUUGAAGAAUAUAUUUUGUAGCCUCUUGAGAGUCUUUAGCAAAGUGGAAUCCUUGUGUUGAUCAUUUGCUUAGAAAUGGAGAUUGCUUGGGAAUUUCGGUUCCCUUGAGGUCACGUAAGAGAUAGGUUUAGGUUGUGUGUGAUAUUAAAGAUCCAAAAGUGGAAUAAGCUUUUGGGUUGUUAAUAUUAUACCAUCCCUUUGUCUAUCUAUCUAUCUUUACUUUCUUGUAAUCGUUUGUCUAUAUCUAGUGUAAUUCGUUUGUGUAACCGUGUGUUGUUGUUAUUGCAUCUUGCCCAUCAAGUGUUGUUGUUGUUUUAGUGUGUUUUACUUUUGAUAUCACUUCCCUUCUUGUUCUUCUUGUGAAUCCGAGAGAGGUCACCAAAAGGGUCCAUAGUUCUUGAAUUAGUGGACUGUUUUUGGAUUGUGUUUGGACUGUUUUGAGUCAAUUUCGUGUGUUCCUUGGUUUUCUUGUAUCAUUUGGUAUCAAAGCAAGGAUGGUUGUGUUCCUACACUACCAAUCUUGGGUUUUCUUGGACGAAAAUUCAAAAAGAAAAAAAAACUGAAAACUGAAAAAAAAAUCCAGAAAAGUGCAAUUCUGGCCAUUUUGUGUUCUUGGUCGAAAAUUGUGUUGUUGUUAUCUUGGCCAAGAUUUGUUUAUUUUGUGUCUAAAACUUAAAGUCUUUUGUUUGUUUAGAGUGUUUCUAGUGUUGGUUUCUUUCUCAUCAACACUAAAAAGUGUCCAAAUUUAAGAUUGAACUUGAACUUAUUGAAGUUGUUGAUGUGAACAAGGUGUGGCCGAGUUGGAUGUUGUUGUUACCUAAAUCUUGGCCGAUUUGAUGGUCUUGUUAUAGUGGAGUUGGAAACUGAAAUUGUUUUUGUUCUUGAAGUUGUUGUUGUGUUCUUAAGGUUCUUCACCCUUUCAUCAUCUUGUUAAUCCUUAAAGUGCAAAUUAGAUCUAAAAAGGUGAAAGACAAGCUUGUAGUAGUUGUUAGUGAAAGACUUGUCCCUACCACUUCAAAGACUUUUCAUCUACUUUUCCUUGAUUUAAGGACCUUGUUUCAAGGAGAAAGUUAAAAGAAGUCAAGUUUAGCUUUUGAAAUUUGAACAAAAAGGCUCCAAGACCACUUUUCCCUCCAUUAACCAAAUCCACCAAUUCCAAAUUUUAUAUUGAUCAACACUUGAAAUUGGGAAAUAAAAUUUUGAUAAAACUCGAGGCCAAUAGUGGACUGCCACGUCACUAAAGUACUGUUCACGCAACAUUUUUGAGUUCAAAUUUUAGAUUUCUUAGUUUCAUUUUAUUGUUUUCUAGUUUUGUUUAUUUGCUCGACACUAAUUGACAACCUAGUAAUAUACUACUAGCUUGUAAGUUAGUUUUGUGUAUGUUCUUCGUGUUAACGUUAUUUGUUGUGUGUUUUUCUCGUUUUUGAUUCAUAGUAUCUUUUUUGGUUCAAGUUCGUACAUUACUUAUUUGAGUCAUUUCAAACAAGAAUCUACUCCGACCUCAAGCCACAAUUGGGACCAAGUAACCUCAUUGGAGUAUAAGCGAGUUAUCAACACUUGUAAGGCCAAUAGAGUCAAAAAUCCAAAGUGUAAAAGUGAGGGAUUAUGGACUAUUUUGAGGCGCAUUGUGGACUGUUUUGUGACGAAUUGUGGACUAAUUUUUGAUAAUCUUUAAUGUGUUUGUUGUUUUCGUGUUGUUUGCUUAGUAGCUCUUGAUGGGUACAAUGACGAAUGAAGUUGAAAUGCCUAGUUGGGUUAAAUCCACCAUGGCAAGGCUUGAUGCCAUAGAUAGGCCAAUAAUGGACAGAAUGGAAGGAAUAUUGGAAGGGACGGAAGGCUCUCUGUGCAAGAAGUUGGAUAACUUGAUGGAGCAUCCAAGCCUUCCUAAUCAAAUUCCCGUGAGUGGCCAUGCUCCACAUGAGCUACAAGGUAAUCAAACUAACUUUUGCACUCUAGUGAAUGAGGAUAAUAGCCAACUAAGUGUAAAUAAUAAUUUAUCUUUAAGUGAGUCGAAUGUGCCUUCAUUUUGUGAUGAUAAUGUACAACUUAAGAUUGUGGAUACACUAGUUGAUUCACCUAGUGUUAAAGCCAUUGUGGAAAGUGGUAGUAUAUUGUCUUAUGAAAGUCAUGAAGACCAACUUGUGUGUGAAAAUGAUGAUGUUGAACAUGUUGGCCGAAUGACUAAGAAUGACCCUCUAGUUGUUUUUGUUAUUGACCAUGAUAGUAUAGAGGGGAAAUUUGAUCUUUAUUGUAGUAGUAUUGGGGUAAGGAAGUGUAUUCCCAACCCGUGCCCAUGAACACUCUACCCAUUUGAUUUCAGUGAUCAUUUGAAGUGUAGUGAUGAGGAUGUCUUUUGGAAUGACUUAAAUGUGCAUCGAAUGUAUGGCUUUCCUCUCUCGGCUUUCAAGUCUAAUUGUUGUUACAAGAAGAGUCUAUGUUUUUCACUUGAUAAGCGGCGCUUGGUCCUUAUUUCUUGUCAUACUUAUGUAGAUAAACUAGUUGAUUCUCCCUUGGUAGGGUAUUCGGGUAAGAGGGAUGUUUAGGUAUAUAUGAAGUUUGAGCCACCUUGGCAAGAUACUAUGAUUGAUUACACUAAUCCUAACCCUCAUACCUUGAGGAACUUUUGUUUGCUUGUCCUUUCAUUGCUUUGCAAGAUUUGGAUUUGAGGACGAAUCCUUUCUAAGGAAGGGAGGAUGAUAUGGGUACGAUCAUGAUCGGGGUUCAAUUCGUCAAGACUCGAGCUUGGGGGGCUUCCCAUCCAAGGAAUAAGCUUUGAAGUGUAGAGAACAAGUCUCACAAGCUCCAAAACUGUUCACUGUUCAUCCGCGUUCACUAUUCAUCUGCCCUUUGCAAGGAUUUUUUAGUCAUUUGUAAUAAGUUAACCUAGGUAUAAAUAGAACCUCAUUAGGUUAUUUUUGGGAGAUUUUUUGGAGAAUAUAUUUUGUAGCCUCUUUGAGAGUUUUUAGCAAAGUGGAAUCCUUGUGUUGAUCAUUUGCUUAGAAACGGAGAUUGCUUGAGAAUUUUGGUUCCCUUGAGGUCACGUAAGAGAUAGGUUUAGGUUGUGUGUGAUAUUAAAGAUCCAAAAGUGGAAUAAGCUUUUGGGUUUUUAAUAUUAUACCCUCCCUUUGUCUAUCUAUCUAUCUUUACUUUCUUGUAAUCGUUUGUCUUUAUCUAGUGUAAUCCGUUUGUGUUCUUGUCUUGUAACCGUGUGUUGUUGUUAUUGCAUCUUGUUCAUCAAGUAUUGUUGCUAUUUUAGUGUGUUUUACUCUUGAUAUCACUUCCCUUCUUGUUCUUCUUGUGAAUCCGAGAGAGGUUAUCAAAAGGGUCCAUAGUUCUUAAACUAGUGGACUGAUUUUGGUGUUUGUGUUGUUGUGUUCUUGGGGAGUUUGAUAUCAUCAAUCACGGAAUAAUCACGGAAAUAGAUUUAUGUGGGUGUGAAUUGAAAGCUACCAAGUGUAUGUGCAAGAGAAGUGUAAUUAAAGACCCAAAUACACACCAAAACAGCUCACUCCAUACACUAGAGGGGCAACCCAUUCUUGAAGGGCCUUUUGGUCAUUUUAACUUCUAUUUGUUUUGUAAUAUAUAAGGAACAUGUAGGGUUUUAUUUACUUAGUUUAUGAAUGAAGUUGUAAGUCUUACAAGACAAAGAAACACAAGUCCUCUUUCCUUGAGGCACCCAAAAUCGAAAUUAAGGCUUAGAUAAGUGUAGAUACACUUGUGUUUGCAUUUGCUUGGAAACAUUGAUGCUUGGGAGGUGGAUUCCGACCUUGUGUCUUUGUAAGAGAUAAGUUUACUGUUGUGUGUAGUGUUAAGGGUCCAAGAGUUACCAUUCUUGGGUUCUUAACAUUAUACCUUCAUGUGGUUUAUCUAUCCUUUUUCUUUUGUAAUCUUGUAUCCAUUUUGUAUCUUGUAUUAUGAAGCUGUUUUUGUUGUUGUUCUUCUCAUUGUUGUUUCAUCUUGUGUUGUUAACUUAGUUUGUUGUUGGCUGCAAAAGGUGUCAAACACCUAGUUAUAUUGUCCUUCUUGUAUUUCAUUCUUGAAUCCGAGAGUGGUCUUCAAAAGGAUUCUUUGAAUUAGUGGACUAUUUUUGGAGUGUGUUUAGACUGUUUUGAGCCAAUUUCGUAUGUUUCUUGGUUCUCUUGUAUCAAACCCCCUCUCCAAAAAAAUUAAUAUUUUAAUUUAUUUUUUAAAAUAAAUUCAAAACUUUUUCUUAUCCCACAUUUUUUAUCCUAUUCGUUCUCAUUAUUUUUGUUAAAUAUAUACAAAUACUUUUAGAAAACAUAUACUUAUCCAAUUUGCAUAACGAUCAGAUGAAUAUAAGUAAGAAAUAACUUAUUUUUCUAGAAAAUAUUUUUCCUCAUUCAUAUAGAACGCACCCUAAAAAUGUAUUUUUACGCUUUAGCUAAACAAUAAAAUGUAUGUUUUGAAAAAUAUUUUUUCAUUCACCAAUCAAACACUAUAAAAUAUUUUCCAAAAAAUAUUUUUCAUCCACCAACCAAAAAUAGAAAAAUAAGUAAGAAAUCAACUUGUUUUCCAAAAAAAUAUUUUCUAGGAAAACAUUUUCUAUGCAAAACAUUUUUCUUCAUACCAAACAAAGAAAAAACUAAACUACCACAUGUAGGUAGUUGAAGAUAAGUACCAAGUAACAUUAGGAUAAUUUGGUACCAUGUAUUAAUUAAAAUAGUUUAUGUAUUAAAAUUUAGUUCAAUCUAAUAAAUGAUUUGAUUGGACAACUUAAUUUAAUCCCUCUUUAUAUAUUGGAUAACUAUAUAUUAUAGGGUGUACUAUCUUAUAUGGAGGAAAUGUAGGAGUUAUUUAUACGGGUCAAUUGAUACAUGGAUGAAAGAAUUAAAUGAGAUAUUAUCUCUUAAUUCCUUUUAGGAUAAAGGAACUAAAUAAAGAAGGCACCUUUUCUGCUCUUUCGCGGGAUUUUUCUCUUCUUUGGAGAUGGAAAAGGUGUAGCCAUUAGUCUCCAACUAUUUGUUUUUCUUACAAAGUUGAAACUUUUAUCAAGGUAUUCUUAGUUUCUUUCAUUUUUGUUCUUGAAAUUAAAGUAGUAUUCUCUGUAUUGAAACUUUGCUGUGUUUAAAUUUUCUGGAUUUUUGCUGAUAUUAUUUGUAUUGAUUUUGUGACAAAAUUAGGUACUAUUAUUAUGGACUAUCUAAUACUGAUUAUAUCAUUUGCAUUUUUAUGGCUAUUCAUGGUCAUUCGCUAAGAAGACGAUACAAAAAUGCCGCUGAGGAAAUUCAAAAGAAUCAAUGUCCAGAACUUUUUAAUGUCGUGACUAUGGGAUUUUCUAUUGAUGAAGAGGACGAUGCUAUUGCUAGCCAUAGACCAAAUGCGGCUACUGGAGAACCUGAAAAUACUACUGGACCUACUGCAUUUACCGGAGCAUCUGACAAUGAAAAUGCUGGAGCAUUUGAAGCUGGAUCCCAACAAGCCAACACACAAGGUGAGUAUACUAGAUCAUCUAAUGUCGACGAAAAGGAGAAAUGCAAGAAAAGAAAAAGAAUAGCGGAGAAUGAUAAUGAGACAUUUCGUAAAGGUAUGAUGGAGGUUAUAUGAAGUUUUACUGAAAGUCAUGAAAAACGAAUGAGUGCCUUAAUUGAAAAGAUUGGGGAUCGUGACCAAUCCAAUCUUCGUGGUCAAAUUUAUUCCAUCAUUGAAUCUCCCAUAUUUGAGUUGUACUCAACAGAGCAACGCAUCAAAGAAACAAUGGUCCUUUGUGAUGAUGUCAAAAAGAUGGAAUUGUUCAUUCGUAUGGAUGAACUUGAACGUCAGACUAUGAUGUUUAUGAUUAUCAAUGAUAAACUUUAGAGCAUGAUAGACGUGUGUAUAAGUGAUGGCUCUAUUUUGAUAGUUUUUGCUAAACUCAUGAAAACCUUGGAAGGUUUAAUUGUAGUGUCCAUUUUGAUACCUCGGAUUACGUCCUAUCUUGACUAUGAAUAGGAUUGGUGUAUGGGCACGAGGAUUACAAUUUUUGUAUAACUAGUAUCUAUGGAAAAACUUGAAUGUGGUUGCACUUGUGAUAAACUCAAAUGAUGUAUGUAAAUGUAAUUAUGAAGUUUGCAUAAUAUUGUAUCUUUUGUCAAUUGGUGUAUUUGCUUGAGUUUAGGGACAGAUUGAAAGGUCCCAUUUCAAUAUUAUGCCAAAGUUCAUUAUCGGGGACAGUAGAUUUUUAGUUGCACAGAAUCACAGAGAAUAAUUUGGUGAAUGAAAACGAGAGAUAUGAUUAUACUAAGCUACAUCCGAUUCUAUUAGCCAUAGCUCAUGCUUUUCCACCAAUGUCGACUCUUCUGCACCAUCCUAUGUCACCAGUCCAUCCCAUUAUAAUGUCAAAAUCGACCAUUUCUAAUUCAAUCAAUUCAGCUAUAGUGCCUCCGUGAUACACCAUAACUGCACAACCUCAAAAGGCUGUUCACAUAUCUAUCAGAGAAAUGGCAACCAUAUCUUCUCUGUAGAAGCAGUAACUAAACAAGGAAUGGCGUAAGAGUCCUUUUUGUCAUUUAUGUACUCCAAAUACAGCAUUACAUGUAUUAAUGUCCAAAUACAAUUCAGUAUAAAAUGACAAAGGAGUUUUUGGAAAUUAACCAUUUCACAUGGAACUUUGAGUUGUUCAUAAGACCAUUGCCAGGAUAGAGACGCAUCUUUAUCUUACUCAUAGAGUGUUGGAUUAGAUAAUCUCGGAACAGGUAGAGCCACUAGAGGCACUUUCUUCUUCAAAACAAUACCAAACUUCUCCGUAAGAUCUAAUGUCUCUCCUUCAGGCAACUUCCAGUCGAAAGAAUGAAUGAGCGAAGCUAGUGAAUACAUGAACAUCCUC